rnacentral:lncRNA from 1 species
AUGAAAAAUCAUUCUUUGAUCUUGUCUCUACAAGUGGUAUGCAAUCUGAGAAAAGCCAGGUUCCGAUUCCUGAGGAUUCUGUGUAUAGAGAAAGCCAGGUUUUAAUCCUGAGCAAAGUAUGAGUCAGGUCACGAUCUUGAACCUGUGAAAGCCAGAUUGUGAUCCCAGCAUAUCGAAAGGGGAGUCUGUUGGUGUUGAUAUGCUUAGCAA